AGACGCAUCAUGCCACAGGUCACCGGCGUAUUUUAUAUGCGGCGUCUUUGAAAUAUUCAUGUUGGCACAGUCCGUGGAUUCAGCCACAUUCGAGUGUUGGCUCGCGACUGCAGCCAACUGCAGUGGACACGGUGACGGGCGCAGCAAGCAUGACGUGUGGGAGCUACUGUACGCGCAUGUCUCAUUGCUGACGCAACGCGGAACAAAGAAAGAACCCUAAGCAACGAGAAUAUAUCCGCGACCUUGUCUCCUGAAGCUGAAGCAGAACGGGCAACAGUUUGACAACGAAUACCCUUGGUAGCAGGAAUUGUAUAGCUGUACUAUGAAGCCCCCUCUGUAUGAGAUGUUUUCACCGAACAACUGUUGUGUAAUAAAGGCUCUUCGUGUUGAACACCACCUAGUUUCAAUUGGGUGACCAUUUACUAUUAACUGGAUUGCCUGUUGAACACCAGUUCACUUUAACUGGUUACCCAUUUGGACACCGGUUAGCUUCAAUUGGAUUACCACAUCUAUUCAAUUGGUUAACCAAUUAAACACCACCUAGUUUCAAUUGGGUGACCAGUUACGAUUAACUGGAUUACCAGUUGAACACCAAUUCAGU